AUGGAGUCCAUGUGUAAAGUAACAGAAACGUUGAACACUGGGGCAAAAGUUCCCCACCUAGGCUCGCGUCGCUCCAGCCCCAGGGGCGAUGCGAGCGCCCCCACACGCGCCGGCCGCCGCCGCGCCUUCCCCCUCCCCUUCGCCUCGCCGCCGCCCGAGUGGCCCACCGGAAAGCCGGCCGGGCGCAAGGACGGCGGCGGCGGGGCAUCCCGGCGCCCGUGGCGGCGGAGGCGGCCAGAUCCGGGGCUGGGGAGGCGACGGCGGCGGGGCAGAGAAGGUGGCGGCGACGGGGCGGACGAGGCGGCGGCGGCGACGGGGCGGACGAGGCGGCGCUGGCGGCGGCCGACGGGGCGGAGGAGGCGCUGGCGACGGUGGCGACAGGACGGGGGUGGAGCUGGCAGCAGGGACAGGGCGGGUCCAGCGGCGCGCGACGUCACCGGAUCUGGCAACCUCCUCGCUGGAUCCGGCGCCCCCCAGUCCGGAUCUGUCCUCUCCGGCGUGGGAGGCCGGAUCCCCUCCGUCGAGGCGGCGACUGGCCAGCAUGCCGACGACAGUGUGCAGCCGGGUGUGGAGGCGGGGAAGAAAGAGACCGGCGGCUGUCGUUGGCGGCGGGACCCGCGUGAGAGACGCGGCUUGAGGCCGGCACGGCGCGAAGACAGCGGCAUUGGUCCCUGUGCGGCGACGGCGCGGUGCUCGGCGGCGAUGACGGCGGUGCCUCCCCAGAUCCGCGCCUCUCGACCGGAUCUAGAGGGUGGUCGGCUGUGGUGGUCGGCGACGGCGGUCGACUUGCGACAGCUGGUGACGGCAGUUGGCAACGGCGGCGACGGGUGGUUGCGGCAGUUGGCGGCGGCGACCCGGUCACGCUUAGCGGCGGCCGGUCCGGUGCUAGCCUUCUCCUGGGCUUGUGUGUUGGCGAUGUCGGUGUGUGGGUGGUGGUAUUUUUUCCUUUUUCCUGUUUACGACCCUCUAGGGUUGUAAUCUUGUAAUU
rnacentral:lncRNA from 1 species